rnacentral:rRNA from 1 species
AUGACACUUGUUACAUCCUCACUCCUCGAAGAAGGUAACUUUGGUAUUGUUCUCUCAUUUUCCUACUCACCCCACUUGGUUAUGAUGGAUAUGCCAAACUCGUCGGCGAACCCACUUUUCAAGGAGCAAGGUGGUGAUAACGGGUACGUCACCAAGAACCACUUCAUCGCGCAACGAGCGCUACAUCAAGAGAAGCUCCCCAAGCUCAAGUCCGCGACUUCCACGAGCUACUACGACCUCGACACCGACCACAAGCUUCCUUUCUAUGGGACUCAAGACCGCGAGGAGUAUCUCGAGUGGGAGUGCAAGAUGGAUGACUGCCUUAAGCUACAUCAGGUCCCUUUCGAAGACCAAGUGAAGCGCGCCUCAAGUAACUUCCACGAUUACACAUCGACAUGGUGGCUUCAUACACCUUAG